UUUACAAAGUGUUCCUUUUGUAUUCAUAAGUUGUAUUAGUUAUUAGAGCAGAAAUAGAUUUCAUAGAAACAAUAUACGCAGCCACCACUGGAAUCCAAUUCUACAUUAGUUUGAGAUGAUGAAAUGCGCGAUCAAACCUUCUGCCUUAAAUUGAUUGUGCAGCCCCUCAUAAGGCGCUGUUCUAACCACAUUACUUAAUGACAUUUCACCCUGACAUUAUGUUUUUAUUGUUGAAUGUAGGCUACAUCCAAUUCAACUGCUAUAGUCGUGACAUUAUGUCUACAAGUGCAAACAGCUGCCAAUGUCAAAUUAUAUCAACGAGAACAUUCUCUUGCAUUCAGCACUGAUUUGCUGUAUUUCAUGUUGUCAUAUAAUAGUCAAUUAUCCAUUAUGUAAUCUGCAAAUGUCAUUCUAAAAGUAUAGUCCUGUGAUGACAGUUGCAAUCAGGGCUGUAAGGUACAUUUGAGAUCUAUUUUACUUUGUCACUUCUUGCAGGGACUGAUGAUGAAACGCUCACCCUUAUCAGGUUGAGGGCAGAAAAUAAUCACCUGCUUACCAGCAAAAGCCACACAGCCAAAAGAGCCAGGGAGGAAAUUCUUCAGAAGAAGGCCCUUGCAGGUGUUGUCAGCCCCACACAAGUGGCAAAAAAGUGGGACAACAUAAAAGGAGUGCCCCACAACUGGGUCAGGGACUGACAGGGGAGAGGCCAUAGAAGCCAUUUGUCUGUAUUUUUCUGCCAGGCUGAGGCCAUUGGUGGGAGGCCAUCUAUUGAUCCUCCCAUCGUCAUGGACUCAGCAGAAACUGUGCCAAGUUUUAGGCACCCUAGAUGUUUAGAUUCUUAUCCAUUAUGAAAUACCAUCAGGGAGGUGUCUGAUCGGUCCCAA